CGCAGUACGAUAAGAAGUGGAUGGAGCAGUAAGUAAUAAUAGGGAGUGGGAGAGGGAGAGGAAUUAUAUCGGUAGAUGAGGAAACGAUUCUCUCAUUACAGAUCAAAGGAGAUGAUGAUGAAUUAAAAAUGAAGAAUAUGUUAUGAUAUAAGAAAAUAUGGGUAUUUCAUAUGCAUAAUUGAUUCCAUCUGCUUGAAAUCGGAAGAUAGUGUGGAAAAUUGGAAAAAGUGUAGAUAGAGUAAGGCACAUGCAUCCUUUGGUUAUAUUAAUGAGAAAAAAAAGAUAGAAGCUUCCUCGAUAUGCGCACGCAUGGAAUUGCGUUGGAUAUAUUCUUCCUUGACUUUGGGCUUUAUUGCCUUUUAUUUUUCGCCUCUUCCGUCUCGUCCCACCCAUAUCUUCUUUUCCUCCAAGAAGACAAGGAGCUUUCUUGCCAACUGCCUUUAUUUUUCUCUGCAACCAAUAAAAUAGGCCGUAAUCCAGAAUCUCUUUGGGCCUUGAAAAGUGUAGCCAUUAGCCUCGUUCUUUGGAGAUCUGAGGUAGAGAGAUAAAGAUCAUUGUCGCAUGAAUAAUAUCCUACGCCUUUGUUUAUUUUGGUACCAGAGGAGGAGUUGGUCGGAUACUUUUGUUUGGGAAAUCCAUGACAUAGACAUUGUAAUUGUAAUUGUAUUGACCCGGUGAUAUUCCCGAUA